UGGCGGACGGGUGAGUAACGCGUGGGAACGUACCCUUUGGUUCGGAACAACUCCGGGAAACUGGAGCUAAUACCGGAUAAGCCCUUCGGGGGAAAGAUUUAUCGCCAGAGGAUCGGCCCGCGUUAGAUUAGCUAGUUGGUGGGGUAAAGGCCUACCAAGGCAUCGAUCAGUAGCUGGUCUGAGAGGACGAUCAGCCACACUGGGACUGAGACACGGCCCAGACUCCUACGGGAGGCAGCAGUAGGGAAUCUUGCGCAAUGGGCGAAAGCCUGACGCAGCCAUGCCGCGUGAAUGAUGAAGGUCUUAGGAUUGUAAAAUUCUUUCACCGGGGACGAUAAUGACGGUACCCGGAGAAGAAGCCCCGGCUAACUUCGUGCCAGCAGCCGCGGUAAU
rnacentral:rRNA from 1 species